GGCGGCCAUGGGGCAACAGGCGGCCAGGGCGCCAAGGGCCAGGUAGCGACGGCUGGCGGCGGCGCGGCGGCGGGGCCUGCGGGCUCGGUCCGGCAUGUAGACGCCCCCGCAGGCGCCCGCGGCAGCGAACGGCAUCAGUGUUUUUCUGACCGAAGUUCUCAUUUCCUGACAAUGGAAAUGGAACAAGAAAAAAUGACCAUGAAUAAGGAAUUGAGUCCAGACGCGGCUGCUUACUGCUGCUCGGCCUGCCACGGCGACGAGACCUGGAGUUACAACCACCCCAUCCGGGGCCGGGCCAAGUCUCGCAGCCUGUCUGCCUCGCCCGCCCUGGGGAGCACCAAGGAGUUCAGGAGGACACGCUCUCUUCAUGGGCCAUGCCCGGUGACCACUUUUGGACCAAAGGCCUGUGUGCUGCAGAACCCCCAGACCAUCAUGCACAUUCAGGACCCCGCGAGCCAGCGGCUGACGUGGAACAAGUCCCCAAAGAGCGUCCUUGUCAUCAAGAAGAUGAGAGAUGCCAGCCUACUGCAGCCGUUCAAGGAGCUCUGCACGCACCUCAUGGAGAAGAGCAGGCGUGGGGGUUGCGGCGCCCAGGAAAGCCACUCCUGAAAUAACAGCCUUAGUCAAUUCCUGAGAGGGAGCCCCCUCCGCCCAGUCAUCUCUUAAAGGUCCUGCUUCCUCCUGGCGCGUUGGCGAUGAAGUUUCAGCUUGAGCAUGGGGGGGCGGGCAUGCAGGCCACGAUGCCAGGUCUCUGACCACAGCGCCCGUGAGUCGGGAACCUCCCUGCAGGAGGGUGGGGUCUGCAGGUGGAAUGAGCAGGUUGGCACUUUGCUUCCAGGAGAACAACAUGAUCGUGUAUGUG
rnacentral:sRNA from 1 species